rnacentral:rRNA from 1 species
CUAUGUCCCAUCAGGUAGUUGGUGAGGUAACGGCUCACCAAGCCAAUGACGGGUAUCUGGUUUGAGAGGAUGAUCAGACACACUGGAACUGAGACACGGUCCAGACUCCUACGGGAGGCAGCAGUGAGGAAUAUUGCACAAUGGAGGAAACUCUGAUGCAGCAACGCCGCGUGGAGGAUGACGCAUUUCGGUGUGUAAACUCCUUUUAAGAGGGAAGAUUAUGACGGUACCUCUUGAAUAAGCACCGGCUAACUCCGUGCCAGCAGCCGCGGUAAUACGGAGGGUGCAAGCGUUACUCGGAAUCACUGGGCGUAAAGGGUGCGUAGGCUGACUUUUAAGUCAGGCGUGAAAUCCAAUGGCUUAACCAUUGAACUGCGCUUGAAACUGGGAGUCUAGAGUUCAGAAGGGGCAGAUGGAUUUAGUGGUGUAGGGGUAAAAUCCGUAGAUAUCACUAGGAAUAUCAAAAGCGAAGGCGAUCUGCUGGGAUGAUACUGACGCUGAGGCACGAAAGCGUGGGGAGCAAACAGGAUUAGAUACCCUGGUAGUCCACGCCCUAAACGAUGAAUGCUAGUCGUCGGGGAGCUCGUCUCUUCGGUGAUGCACUUAACAGAUUAAGCAUUCCGCCUGGGGAGUACGGUCGCAAGAUUAAAACUCAAAGGAAUAGACGGGGACCCGCACAAGUAGUGGAGCAUGUGGUUUAAUUCGAAGAUACACGAAGAACCUUACCUGGCCUUGACAUGGUAGGAACCCUGUAGAGAUACGGGGGUGCUGGCUUGCUAGAGCCUACACACAGGUGCUGCACGGCUGUCGUCAGCUCGUGUCGUGAGAUGUUGGGUUAAGUCCCGCAACGAGCGCAACCCUCGUCCUUAGUUGCUAACGGUUCGGCCGAGCACUCUAAGGAGACUGCCUUCGCAAGGAGGAGGAAGGUGAGGACGACGUCAAGUCAUCAUGGCCCUUACGGCCAGGGCUACACACGUGCUACAAUGGGGCGUACAGAGAGCUGCGAUACCGCGAGGUGGAGCCAAUCUCUUAAAGCGUCUCUCAGUUCGGAUUGUUCUCUGCAACUCGAGAACAUGAAGCUGGAAUCACUAGUAAUCGCAGAUCAGCUAUGCUGCGGUGAAUACGUUCCCGGGUCUUGUACUCACCGCCCGUCACACCAUGGGAGUUGAUUUCACCCGAAAUCGGGAUG